rnacentral:rRNA from 1 species
GAUGAACGCUGGCGGCGUGCCUAAUACAUGCAAGUCGAGCGAACGGACGAGAAGCUUGCUUUUCUGAUGUUAGCGGCGGACGGGUGAGUAACACGUGAUAACCUACCUAUAAGAACUGGAUAGCCUUGGGAAACCGGAGCCAAUUCCGGAUAAUAUUUUUAACCGCAUUGUUCAAAAGUGAAAGACGGUUUUGCCGUUACUUAUUGAUGGAUCCGCGCUGCAUUAGCUAGUUGGUAAGGUAACGGCUUACCAAGGCAACGAUGCAUAGCCGACCUGAGAGGGUGAUCGGCCACACUGGAACUGAGACACGGUCCAGACUCCUACGGGAGGCAGCAGUAGGGAAUCUUCCGCAAUGGGCGAAAGCCUGACGGAGCAACGCCGCGUGAGUGAUGAAGGUCUUCGGAUCGUAAAACUCUGUUAUUAGGGAAGAACAUAUGUGUAAGUAACUGUGCACAUCUUGACGGUACCUAAUCAGAAAGCCACGGCUAACUACGUG